rnacentral:rRNA from 1 species
AUUGAACGCUGGCGGCGUGCUUAACACAUGCAAGUCGAUCGGUAACAGGUGUAGCAAUACAUGCUGACGAGAGGCGGACGGGUGAGUAAUGCUUGGGAAUCUGCCUAUUAGUGGGGGACAACCCGGGGAAACUCGGGCUAAUACCGCAUACGCUCUACGGAGGAAAGCCGGGGACCGCAAGGCCUGGCGCUAAUAGAUGAGCCCAAGUCGGAUUAGCUAGUUGGUAGGGAACGGCCUACCAAGGCGACAAUCCGUAGCUGGUCUGAGAGGACGACCAGCCACACCGGAACUGAGACACGGUCCGGACUCCUACGGGAGGGCAGCAGUGGGGAAUAUUGGACAAUGGGGGCAACCCUGAUUCCAGCGACGCCGCGUGGGUGAAGAAGGCCUGCGGGUUGUAAAGCCCUUUCGGUGGGGAAGAAAAGUCUCGACCUAAUACGUCGGGACCUUGACGUAACCCACUAAAGAAGCACCGGCUAACUCUGUGCCAGCCGCCGCCGU